rnacentral:rRNA from 1 species
UGGGGAAUAUUGCACAAUGGGCGCAAGCCUGAUGCAGCCAUGCCGCGUGUGUGAAGAAGGCCUUCGGGUUGUAAAGCACUUUCAGUCGUGAGGAAGGUAGUGUAGUUAAUAGCUGCAUUAUUUGACGUUAGCGACAGAAGAAGCACCGGCUAACUCCGUGCCAGCAGCCGCGGUAAUACGGAGGGUGCGAGCGUUAAUCGGAAUUACUGGGCGUAAAGCGCAUGCAGGUGGUUUGUUAAGUCAGAUGUGAAAGCCCGGGGCUCAACCUCGGAAUAGCAUUUGAAACUGGCAGACUAGAGUACUGUAGAGGGGGGUAGAAUUUCAGGUGUAGCGGUGAAAUGCGUAGAGAUCUGAAGGAAUACCGGUGGCGAAGGCGGCCCCCUGGACAGAUACUGACACUCAGAUGCGAAAGCGUGGGGAGCAAACAGG